rnacentral:rRNA from 1 species
UACAGAGGGUGCAAGCGUUAAUCGGAGUUACUGGGCGUAAAGGGCGCGUAGGCGGUUCUGCAAGUGAGAUGUGAAAUACCCGGGCUUAACCUGGGAACUGCAUCUUAAACUGUGGAGCUGGAGUACUGUAGAGGACAGUGGAAUUUCCGGUGUAGCGGUGAAAUGCGUAGAGAUCGGAAGGAACACCAGUGGCGAAGGCAGCUUCCUGGUCCAAUUCUGACGCUGAGGUGCGAAAGCGUGGGUAGCGAACGGG